AGUUAAAGGACAUAACCGAUAACUAUGGGCCAAAGUCAUUGAUUGGUGAGGGUUCAUUUGGAAGAGUGUUUUACGGUAUUUCUCAAAAACGGCAAGGCAGCUGCCAUUAAGAAACUUGAUUCCAGUAAGCAACCGGAUAACGAAUUUCUCUCCCAGGUUUCAAUGGUUUCGAGAUUGCGAAACGACAAUGUUGUUGCUCUUCUGGGAUAUUGCGUUGAUGGACCACUCCGUGUUCUUGCUUAUGAAUAUGCUCCUAAUGGAUCUCUUCAUGAUAUCCUUCAUGGUAAAAAAGGUGUGAAAGG